UUAACAGGAAAGCUAGACUCAGUGUGUGUGUGCACACAGAGAUUUAGAUUUUGUAGUCUAAUAUGUGGAAAUGCGCCACAGCCACAGGUCCCAGCAUGAAGACGGCUCUUUGUCCAUCCUGGAUUUGCUCAAAUAUGCUGAUGAUGGGAUGGAACCGGGUGGAUAUCCGGACCUGGACAGAUAUCAAUUUGCUUUGUCAAGGUUUCCUUAAGGCAUCUCAAGCCCAACUUUGAAUUGCUGUAACAACUUGAGGAUAUCACGGAAAUACAAUCAAAUAAUUUGAGAACAUAUUAGGUUGGGACAAAGCCACGGUACAAUGAACCUU